UUAAAUAAAAGAAAUAUAAAUAUUUUAUAAAUAAAAUUCUUAUAAAAGAAUUUUUAUAAUUCUUCAAAACAUAUUGUUUAAUGACAGCAUAGUAAAGGUGGUCCAUUAUCUACUUAAUAUCUCCCUGAUUAUUUGAGAUUUUGUUUGACUAUCUCUGUAAAUAACUGUAUGACCAUCUCUAUACAUAACUCUAAUCACAACUCUGAUUAGUUAGUUAGGAUAUAUUUCUAGGAAAGGGAUUCCUGGGUUAAGGAUGAGGGUCCCUUACUUAUGACCAGGUUUCCUACCAGAAGAUUUAUACCAAGAGAGUUCCACAGGCAGUGAAUGAGAGACCCAUCUCACCACACCCUCAUCAACACUGAGAUAGGUCAGUUGGCUAAUUAGAAAAUCAGUGUUUCUUUUAUUAGUAAUGACUAGCUUUCUGGCCUAACCCUUUCAUAGGGCUUCAGUUUCCUUAUGCAUGAAAAGAAGUGGGGAGUGUACUAGACUCUGUCAUGCCUAAAGUAUGUUCAGCUGUAACACUUAACCAUCUCUUCCAUUAUUGCUGUGCAUUCAUGAGGUUUAUCAUGUAUUUCAGUCCUGUCUAGAAUUAACUAGUAAUUCCUUUCUGUCUUAGUUUGGGUCCCUUUAGGAGCAGUGCAAAUAAUUUGUUUGGGAGGUGAUUCCCAGGGAAAAAUUCAUAGGUAGAUGUCCUCUAGUUUAAGAAAAACCAAUAUUUGUAAACAAAAGUUCUAACAUAUUUUUUUAAAGCAGGAAUUUUAAAAAGUAUAUCUUAGUAUAAUUCACAGUUUCCUUUAAGUAGCACACUUGCCUGGUACAAUACAAGCAUUAUUUAAUUACCAAACAUUUGGGUUUAAACAAUUUUCAGAAAGCCAUUCAUUGUGUAAAUGAUAAUAUCUGAACUAUAGCAUGUUUAGUACUCAGGUAGCUUAGUGGAAGGUCAGAGAACAUCACAAGGGUGUCACUGUGUAGUUUUACUUUUAGACAAACUGUUAUAACAGAGAUUGAUAGGGGAAGAAGUGUCUGAGAUGCAACUAAUGGUUUUCAUAUUUUUAAAAAGUCCUUA